CCGGAGAGGGAGCCUGAGAAACGGCUACCAUUUCCAAGGGAAGCAGCAGGCGCGAAAAUUUUCCAAUCCUGACACAGGGAGAAAGUGACAAGAAAUAACAAUGCAGGACCUUACGGUCUCUGCAAUUGGAAUGAGUACAAUUUAAAACUCUUAACGAGUAACAACUGGAGGGCAAGUCUGGUGCCAGCAGCCGCGGUAAUUCCAGCUCCAGUAGCGUAUAUUAAUGUUGUUGCAGUUAAAACGCUCGUAGUUGAACUUCGGGCGAGGGCAUUUGGUCUUGCCUCUGGCGAGUACUGGAUGCGCCGAGUCUUUCUUUUGGGGAAACAGGGUGCUCUUAAUUGGGUGCUCUGAGGAACCAAGACGAUUACCUUGAGAAAAACAGAGUGUUCAAAGCAAGCCGUCGCUUGAAUACAUUAGCAUGGAAUAAUAAAAUAGGAUCUAGGUUCUAUUUUGUUGGUUUUUGGGACCUAGUUCAUGAUGAAUAGGAACAGUCGGGGGCAUUAGUAUUUAGAAGCUAGAGGUGAAAUUCUUGGAUUUUCUAAAGACUAACAACUGCGAAAGCAUUUGCCAAGGAUGUUUUCAUUAAUCAAGGACGAAAGUUGGGGGAGCAAAGACGAUCAGAUACCGUCGUAGUCUCAACUAUAAACGAUGCCGACUAGGGAUCGGUGGAUGUCGUUUUCGACUCCAUCGGCACCUUGAGAGAAAUCAAAGUUUUUGGGUUCUGGGGGGAGUAUAGUCGCAAGACCGAAACUUAACAGAAUUGACGGAAGAACACCACCAGGAGUGGAGCCUGCGGCUUAAUUUGACCCAACACGGGAAAACUCACCAGGUCCAGACAUAACGAGGAUUGACAGAUUGAAAGCUCUUUCAUGAUUUUAUGGGUGGUGGUGCAUGGCCGUUCUUAGUUGGUGGAGUGAUUUGUCUGGUUAAUUCCGAUAACGAACGAGACCUUAACCUGCUAAAUAGCUCAGCUAAGCUUCGGCUUGGCAUGAGCUUCUUAGAGGGACUAUCUGUGACUAACAGAUGGAAGUUUGAGGCAAUAACAGGUCUGUGAUGCCCUUAGAUGUUCUGGGCCGCACGCGCGCUACAAUGAUAAAGGCAGCAAGUGUUCCCUUGGCCGGAAGGUCUGGGUAAUCUUAUGAAACUUUAUCGUGACGGGGAUUGACCAUUGCAAUUAUUGGUCAUGAACGAGGAAUUCCUAGUAAGCGCAAGUCAUCAGCUUGCGUUGAUUACGUCCCUGUUCUUUGUACACACCGCCCGUCGAUACUACCGAUUGAAUGGCUUAGUGAGGCCUCUGGAUUAGUUGCUGCGGCCGCAAGGCUGUCGUGACUGAGAAACUGGUCAAACUUGGUCAUUUAGAGGAAGUAAAAGUCGUAACAAGGUU
rnacentral:rRNA from 1 species